GAUGAACGCUGGCGGUAUGCUUAACACAUGCAAGUCGAACGGACUCUUCGGAGUUAGUGGCGGACGGGUGAGUAACGCGUGAGAAUCUGGCUUUGGGUUCGGGACAACCACUGGAAACGGUGGCUAAUACCGGAUGUGCCGAGAGGUAAAAGAGAAAUUGCCUGAAGAUGAGCUCGCGUCUGAUUAGCUAGUUGGUGAGGUAAAGGCUCACCAAGGCAGCGAUCAGUAGCUGGUCUGAGAGGAUGACCAGCCACACUGGGACUGAGACACGGCCCAGACUCCUACGGGAGGCAGCAGUGGGGAAGUUUCCGCAAUGGGCGAAAGACUGACGGAGCAAUACCGCGUGAGGGAAGAAGGCUCUUGGGUUGUAAACCUCUUUUCUUAGGGAAGAACAAAAUGACGGUACCUAAGGAAUCAGCAUCGGCUAACUCCGUG
rnacentral:rRNA from 1 species